GAUGAACGCUGGCGGCGUGCCUAAUACAUGCAAGUCGAGCGAACAGACGAGGAGCUUGCUCCUCUGACGUUAGCGGCGGACGGGUGAGUAACACGUGGAUAACCUACCUAUAAGACUGGGAUAACUUCGGGAAACCGGAGCUAAUACCGGAUAAUAUAUUGAACCGCAUGGUUCAAUAGUGAAAGACGGUUUUGCUGUCACUUAUAGAUGGAUCCGCGCCGCAUUAGCUAGUUGGUAAGGUAACGGCUUACCAAGGCGACGAUGCGUAGCCGACCUGAGAGGGUGAUCGGCCACACUGGAACUGAGACACGGUCCAGACUCCGACGGGAGGCAGCAGUAGGGAAUCCUCCGCCAUGGGCGAAAGCCGGACGGAGCAACGCCGCGUGAGUGAUGAAGGUCGUCGGAUCGUAAAACUCUGUUAUUAGGGAAGAACAAAUGUGUAAGUAACUAGGCACGUCUUGACGGUACCUAAUCAGAAAGCCACGGCUAACUACG
rnacentral:rRNA from 1 species